UCCUACGGGAGGCAGCAGUGGGGAAUAUUGCACAAUGGGCGCAAGCCUGAUGCAGCCAUGCCGCGUGUGUGAAGAAGGCCUUCGGGUUGUAAAGCACUUUCAGUCGUGAGGAAGGUGGUAGUGUUAAUAGCACUAUCAUUUGACGUUAGCGACAGAAGAAGCACCGGCUAACUCCGUGCCAGCAGCCGCGGUAAUACGGAGGGUGCGAGCGUUAAUCGGAAUUACUGGGCGUAAAGCGCAUGCAGGUGGUUUGUUAAGUCAGAUGUGAAAGCCCGGGGCUCAACCUCGGAAUAGCAUUUGAAACUGGCAGACUAGAGUACUGUAGAGGGGGGUAGAAUUUCAGGUGUAGCGGUGAAAUGCGUAGAGAUCUGAAGGAAUACCGGUGGCGAAGGCGGCCCCCUGGACAGAUACUGACACUCAGAUGCGAAAGCGUGGGGAGCAAACAGGAUUAGAUACCCUGGUAGUCCACGCCGUAAACGAUGUCUACUUGGAGGUUGUGGCCUUGAGCCGUGGCUUUCGGAGCUAACGCGUUAAGUAGACCGCCUGGGGAGUACGGUCGCAAGAUUAAAACUCAAAUGAAUUGACGG
rnacentral:rRNA from 1 species